rnacentral:tRNA from 1 species
CGGGAUAGCUCAGCUGGUAAAGCAAAGGACUGAAAAUCC